AACGAACGCUGGCGGCAGGCCUAACACAUGCAAGUCGAGCGCCCUUUCGGGGGAGCGGCGGACGGGUGAGUAACGCGUGGGAAUAUGCCCUUCUCUACGGAAUAGCCUCGGGAAACUGAGAGUAAUACCGUAUACGCCCUGUGGGGGAAAGAUUUAUCGGGGAAGGAUUAGCCCGCGUUGGAUUAGGUAGUUGGUGGGGUAAUGGCCUACCAAGCCGACGAUCCAUAGCUGGUUUGAGAGGAUGAUCAGCCACACUGGGACUGAGACACGGCCCAGACUCCUACGGGAGGCAGCAGUGGGGAAUCUUAGACAAUCGGGGCAACCCUGAUCCAGCCAUGCCGCGUGAGUGAUGAAGGCCUUAGGGUUGUAAAGCUCUUUCAGCUGGGAAGAUAAUGACGGUACCAGCAGAAGAAGCCCCGGCUAACGCCGUG
rnacentral:rRNA from 1 species